UCCCUGGUGGUCCAGUGGGUAAGACUCUGCAUUUCCAAUGCAGGGUCCAUGGGUUCAGUCCCUGGUCAGGGAA
rnacentral:tRNA from 1 species